GGCUUGGUAGCGCUGGUGCGCAUCUGCAUAUUAAUGUAGGGAUCAUCGCGAAUACAGCAGACCCCGCCUGUUCGACUCGGGCCUAAGCCA